rnacentral:rRNA from 1 species
AGAGUUUGAUCCUGGCUCAGGAUGAACGCUAGCUACAGGCUUAACACAUGCAAGUCGAGGGGCAUCAGGAAGAAAGCUUGCUUUCUUUGCUGGCGACCGGCGCACGGGUGAGUAACACGUAUCCAACCUGCCCUUUACUCGGGGAUAGCCUUUCGAAAGAAAGAUUAAUACCCGAUGGCAUAAUGAUUCCGCAUGGUUUCAUUAUUAAAGGAUUCCGGUAAAGGAUGGGGAUGCGUUCCAUUAGGUUGUUGGUGAGGUAACGGCUCACCAAGCCUUCGAUGGAUAGGGGUUCUGAGAGGAAGGUCCCCCACAUUGGAACUGAGACACGGUCCAAACUCCUACGGGAGGCAGCAGUGAGGAAUAUUGGUCAAUGGGCGCUAGCCUGAACCAGCCAAGUAGCGUGAAGGAUGAAGGCUCUAUGGGUCGUAAACUUCUUUUAUAUAAGAAUAAAGUGCAGUAUGUAUACUGUUUUGUAUGUAUUAUAUGAAUAAGGAUCGGCUAACUCCGUGCCAGCAGCCGCGGUAAUACGGAGGAUCCGAGCGUUAUCCGGAUUUAUUGGGUUUAAAGGGAGCGUAGGUGGACUGGUAAGUCAGUUGUGAAAGUUUGCGGCUCAACCGUAAAAUUGCAGUUGAUACUGUCAGUCUUGAGUACAGUAGAGGUGGGCGGAAUUCGUGGUGUAGCGGUGAAAUGCUUAGAUAUCACGAAGAACUCCGAUUGCGAAGGCAGCUCACUGGACUGCAACUGACACUGAUGCUCGAAAGUGUGGGUAUCAAACAGGAUUAGAUACCCUGGGUAGUCCACACAGUAAACGAUGAAUACUCGCUGUUUUGCGAUAUACAGUAAGCGGCCAAGCGAAAAGCAUUAAGUAUUCCACCUGGGGAGUACGCCGGCAACGGUGAAACUCAAAGGAAUUGACGGGGGCCCGCACAAGCGGAGGAACAUGUGGUUUAAUUCGAUGAUACGCGAGGAACCUUACCCGGGCUUAAAUUGCAGUGGAAUGAUGUGGAAACAUGUCAGUGAGCAAUCACCGCUGUGAAGGUGCUGCAUGGUUGUCGUCAGCUCGUGCCGUGAGGUGUCGGCUUAAGUGCCAUAACGAGCGCAACCCUUAUCUUCAGUUACUAACAGGUCAUGCUGAGGACUCUGGAGAGACUGCCGUCGUAAGAUGUGAGGAAGGUGGGGAUGACGUCAAAUCAGCACGGCCCUUACGUCCGGGGCUACACACGUGUUACAAUGGGGGGUACAGAAGGCAGCUAGCGGGUGACCGUAUGCUAAUCCCAAAAGCCUCUCUCAGUUCGGAUCGAAGUCUGCAACCCGACUUCGUGAAGCUGGAUUCGCUAGUAAUCGCGCAUCAGCCACGGCGCGGUGAAUACGUUCCCGGGCCUUGUACACACCGCCCGUCAAGCCAUGGGAGCCGGGGGUACCUGAAGUACGUAACCGCAAGGAUCGUCCUAGGGUAAAACUGGUGACUGGGGCUAAGUCGUAACAAGGU